GCUAUUUUCACCACCUGCUAAUUACUUAGAGCUGGUUUGUGGGCGGAUUCAGCUUCACACAUCAGCCCACACAGGUUGUCAUUUUGUCAAAAAAUUCCAUCAUUAACAAUCUGUCAAUACACUGCCAACGGCUACCAUUUGGUACGUGAAGGGAAAGGGGUCUCUGGUGUGGAAAGCUAGCUGUAUGUUUGGUGGGUUUAAAAAAAAGAAAAGAAAAAUAAGGCAAGAGGCAUAUGUCUUCCAGUCUGUUCCUCAGUGACACAUUACAGGGUUUGUUUUCUGGAGGGAAGGGUGUUUUUCUUUCUUUUAUAAAGAGGAAUGCAGAUAGAAGGAAAGAAUAACAAAUUGUGAGUGAUGUUUUCUCCAAUUUUUCCCUCCCUGCUACCCCUCCCUGAAGAAUUUUGGAUUCGCAUUAGUGCAUACUACCCUGCUGCCAUGUUCCCUCCCACGACUGCCGUCCAUUUCCUGACAUUCUUCAAGUUUUCGAAAAGCAUUGGAAGGAAAGGCAAGAAGAAGAAAAAGAAGAAGAAGAAGAAGAAGAAGAAGAAGAAGAAGAAGAAGUCGUCACAAUUUGCUCCAACCUUUCAAAGAGCCAUUCUAAUGAAAUAUAAAGAGAGUCUGCAAGUCACACAGGUAGAUCCAGAUGAAGUUCGUCCUUUCCCUCUAAUUAAUAAGAUUAAUGCAGUUGCUGACAGGCUUUGCCACUGUGCCCUGCUUUCACUGUACCAUGGAAGUCAUAAUGAUUUGCCUACUAGACAGAUUUUUCAAGAUGAACAGCACAGCUACUCAAAUGAUCUGCGAAUAUACUUUGCCAGUGGCUUUGUGCCGUCCGCCGGACAAUAAAAAGCUAUAAAACUGAAACGUGCUGUCCUUUAUCCGGGCGAACUGCAAAUCCCUAUAAGCUGUCCUAUAGAUAUUGAACGACUGAGUCUGGAUAACUUCAAAAAAGAAUGUUUAUUCAUACAAGGUUGUAAACCUGGCACAGAUCUUAAAGUUGCAGAAAAUGAAACAAAUUUCUAUAGGUUUUAGUCACAGAAUUAUCCCUGGUUCCAGAAGGCAAAGGUGAUUAUAAAACCACUAUACCCUAAUCACGCUGCCUAUAUUAGAAGGAGAAACUCUUUCCUUCCCUAUCUUUAC
rnacentral:lncRNA from 11 species